rnacentral:rRNA from 1 species
CAGGAUGAACGCUAGCGACAGGCUUAACACAUGCAAGUCGAGGGGCAGCGGGAGGAGUAGCAAUACUCCCGCCGGCGACCGGCGCACGGGUGAGUAACACGUAUGAAACCUGCCCGUAGCAGGGGGAUAAGCGGAAGAAAUUCCGUCUAAUACCGCGUAACAACCCUUGGAGGCAUCUCCUCGGGUUUAAAGGAAGCGAUUCCGGCUACGGAUGGUCAUGCGUCGCAUUAGCUUGUUGGCGGGGUAACGGCCCACCAAGGCGACGAUGCGUAGGGGUUCUGAGAGGAAGGUCCCCCACACUGGUACUGAGACACGGACCAGACUCCUACGGGAGGCAGCAGUGAGGAAUAUUGGUCAAUGGCCGCAGGGCUGAACCAGCCAAGUCGCGUGAGGGAUGACGGUCCUGUGGAUUGUAAACCUCUUUUGUCAGGGAGCAAAGGGCGUCACGUGUGGCGCUUUGCGAGUACCUGAAGAAAAAGCAUCGGCUAACUCCGUGCCAGCAGCCGCGGUAAUACGGAGGAUGCGAGCGUUAUCCGGAUUUAUUGGGUUUAAAGGGUGCGCAGGCGGAAUGUCAAGUCAGCGGUAAAAUUUCGGGGCUCAACCCCGUCGUGCCGUUGAAACUGGCGUUCUUGAGUGAGCGAGAAGUAUGCGGAAUGCGUGGUGUAGCGGUGAAAUGCAUAGAUAUCACGCAGAACUCCGAUUGCGAAGGCAGUAUACCGGCGCUCAACUGACGCUCAUGCACGAAAGCGUGGUAUCGAACAGGAUUAGAUACCCUGGUAGUCCACGCAGUAAACGAUGA